CGCAGGGUUGCCCAGGAACAUGGUUUCACACAUUCUCCUGUAGGAAAUCCAUAACCACUAUCACCACGUGGUCAUUUCCAGCAUCUUGGGAUGUAGAGGAUGCCGGCUGGUCCCUGCAGUGGCAGAUCCUGUGGCAACUCUGGAAAUCCUGUGAAGAACUUACGGAGGCCCUGUGAAGAUCCUAUGGAGAUCCAGUCGAGGUCCUAUGAAGAUCCACGGAGAACCUAUGGAUGUCCUGCAAAGGUGUUUCUCUCACAUGGAGGAAAAGACAUAAGCCAUUGGAAGAGGCUCAGAUAAUUCUGCCCACCUCAGAUCCCAGGUAAUGACUCAUUGUGGCCGGAAGAAGGUGGAUCAUAAAAUCCCUCUACCCUAGGAGGAGUGCAGAGAACAAUCCUGGACUGUGAUCCUAGACAAAUACCAUUAGAGAUAUGCAAAUUUGGAAUAGGGACAGAAAACCCGUCCCCAUCAAACAAACCUACUCAAUACAAUGCAGCUGCCAUGAGGAGCGGGGACAGAAACACGGAGACAAACCCACCCUCAAGGCCCAGGCACACAGAAACUGCCGGAGACUGAGGCUGGAGGAGGACAGGAGAAACGUCUGCUCUCGACCAGGAGCUUCUCCUGAGAAGCUAGCAGGAGCGCCCACAGCUGGGGUUAGGAGAUCUAAGGAUCCGCUGAUGACUGGGUUAAUGCCGUGAGCUUCAGCCAGCUCUGUGUCAGCAGCCCCAGUGCGUGCUGGAGGGGCCCGUGAGUGUCGUGGCCAUGGAGCAAGAAAAAAAGGACAUGCUGCCAGGCGCAGUGACUCACGCCUGUAUUCCCAGCACUUUGGGAGGCCGAGUUGGGCAGAUUAUCUGACGUCAGGAGUUCAAGACCAGCCUGGCCAAUAUGGCGAAACCCCGUCCCUACUGCAAAUACAAA
rnacentral:lncRNA from 1 species